rnacentral:rRNA from 1 species
UACAGGGGGGGGCAAGCGUUGUUCGGAAUUACUGGGCGUAAAGGGUCUGUAGGUGGCCAACUAAGUCAGACGUGAAAUCCCUCAGCUUAACUGGGGAACUGCGUCUGAUACUGGAUGGCUCGAGUGUGGGAGAGGAAUGCGGAAUUCCAGGUGUAGCGGUGAAAUGCGUAGAUAUCUGGAGGAACACCUGUGGCGAAAGCGGCUCACUGGACCACAACUGACGCUGAGGCGCGAAAGCUAGGGGAGCAAACAGG